CUGGCCCAGCUCCCGGACCCGGCCCUGCACCUGGACCUGGCCCCGCACCUGGUCCCGGCCCCGCACCUGGUCCCGGCCCCGCACCUGGUCCCGGCCCCGCACCUGGUCCUGGCCCCGCACCUGGUCCCGGACCGAGUCCCGCACCCAACUGUUUUGAGCUCUGUCACAAGCACACGAGUCAGUGUGACGCUGCCUACAGAUGUGUGAACUGCCAGCACAACACGGAGGGGUACAAGUGUGAGCGGUGUAAGGCCGGGUACUGGGGAGACGCCACCAACAGCACCCCGCUAGACUGUCGCCCUUUCACCUCUUACCCAGGCUCCCGGCCACCAAACUUCCUCACACCAUGAUGGAAAUACGCUUAGGACAAG